UUUUUUUUUUUUUGAAACACAAGAACUUUCAUUAAAAUCAUCAGAAAAGUUAGGUGAUACAAUUAAAUGCAAUCUCAUCUGCAAGACAUUGUUUUGCCAAAACAUAGGCUUCACUAUUUUUCACUCUGGAUAUCCAGCGAAAAGAGAUAGUUUCGAAAAGGCCUGCAAGCGAAAUGAUGUCGGCUGUGAUGCCGUAGAUUUCGGUUGCUGUUGAUCCUGAGUUCACCGCCUGGAUUAGUUGCGUUGAAUCCGACUCGCAGCAGACGUUUGCGUAUCCUAAUCGUUGACAGCUCCAGACUGCUUCACGGAGUGCGAGUCCCUCCGCAAUCCAACGGGGAGACGACAAAAGGUGUUGCUGUUGAGAAGGAUCGAGUUCGAUCGUCAUCUGUUAUUGUCCAGCCGAGUCCAGCUGUUAGACAAUCCUGUCUCCAUGCUGCGUCUGAUCGUACAAUCACACAAUGUUCAGCUGAAACAGCUUUGGUAACUAUGUCCUCAGGGGAAAGCCAUUUGUCGUUGAAAAUGGUGUUGUUUCUAGCAAGCCAGAUCUGCCAUAAUAGCCAAGGCGCUAAGCAGCUCUUUGAGACUCCAGUUGGGGGUAAGUUGACCUUUGCACACAGGCUAGUCCAACUGCCCAGCCUGUGUGUUGUGUUAGCAAGUCCCGGCCAAUGAGCACUCCCCUCCAGCAAUGGGAUAUUGCAUCAGUUUCGCUCACAGUCAUCAACCCUUCGAUUUCAGAAGUUAUAACAUACAAAGAAGCUGGUAGAGCAUAUAUUCAAUAAGGUUAUCAAGUAGAAGGCUGCACGCUUUUCCGCAGCAACAUUCUAUAACAACUCUUCCUGUUCUGUUUCUAGUUUCCAUCUGAAUUCAUUUUUAUACACUUAAUUUCGAGUAUUGAGUCGAGGGAGAGGAGGUUCUCAUACAAUGGGCUAGACAUGUUGAUGUCGUUAUUGAUGAAGCACGACCUCUAUCAGCAGGAGUAGGACAAUUCAUGACAUAGCUGGUAAAUUCAAAUUAGCUCGUACAUUCGGCAUGGCUAACAAACAAAGAAGCAUACGUUAUUGAAACAUAUGUGGCUUGCCGUUUGUACGGUCACACUAGUAAUAGUAAAUUACUACUUCUUUUUUUAGAAAAACUCAACAAGAUUGUAAUAAUUGUAUUGAGUCAUGAAAACAGAGUGAAAAUUAGUUUUCACUGA